rnacentral:rRNA from 1 species
UACGGGGGGGGUAAGCGUUGUUCGGAAUUACUGGGCGUAAAGGGCUCGUAGGCGGCCAACUAAGUCAGACGUGAAAUCCCUCGGCUUAACCGGGGAACUGCGUCUGAUACUGGAUGGCUUGAGUUUGGGAGAGGGAUGCGGAAUUCCAGGUGUAGCGGUGAAAUGCGUAGAUAUCUGGAGGAACACCGGUGGCGAAGGCGGCAUCCUGGACCAACACUGACGCUGAGGAGCGAAAGCCAGGGGAGCAAACAGG